UACGAAGGGGGCUAGCGUUGUUCGGAUUUACUGGGCGUAAAGCGCGCGUAGGCGGAUCGCUAAGUCAGGGGUGAAAUCCCAGGGCUCAACCCUGGAACUGCCUUUGAUACUGACGAUCUGGAGAUCGGGAGAGGUUGGUGGAAUUCCGAGUGUAGAGGUGAAAUUCGUAGAUAUUCGGAGGAACACCAGAAGCGAAGGCGGCCAACUGGCCCGAUACUGACGCUGAGGCGCGAAAGCGUGGGGAGCAAACAGG
rnacentral:rRNA from 1 species